GACGAGGGCCCAUAGAGCGGGG
rnacentral:siRNA from 1 species